GGGAGGAGUAUUUUACAGAAGAGACACUCCCAGCUAGCUUUAGAAAAUGAAGACAAAGAACACUGUUACACCAAUGGUUUGAUAUACCGUAAAAAUAGAAAAGACAGGUACUUGAUACGUAGAAGCUUGUCCAAGAUGACGAUGACAAGCUCAAUGUUGGAAUAGGCUAGUGAAAUCUUACUCUAGUCGUUCAAAUUUACUUGAAUUGAAGACAAUCUUUCCUAAAUCCCUGUGUUAUAGUUACGAUCAUUUAC
rnacentral:misc_RNA from 1 species